AUUGAACGCUGGCGGCAUGCUUUACACAUGCAAGUCGAACGGCAGCGCGGGCUUCGGCCUGGCGGCGAGUGGCGAACGGGUGAGUAAUGCAUCCGAACGUGCCCAGUAGUGGGGGAUAGCCCGGCGAAAGCCGGCUUAAUACCGCAUACGACAUGAGGGUGAAAGCGGGGGACCGAAAGGCCUCGCGCUAUUGGCGCGGCCGAUGUCGGAUUAGCUAGUUGGUGGGGUAAAGGCUUACCAAGGCGACGAUCCGUAGCUGGUCUGAGAGGACGACCAGCCACACUGGAACUGAGACACGGCCCAGACUCCUACGGGAGGCAGCAGUGGGGAAUUUUGGACAAUGGGCGCAACCCUGAUCCAGCCAUGCCGCGUGCGGGAAGAAGGCCUUCGGGUUGUAAACCGCUUUUGUUCGGGAAGAAAUUCUCUGGGCUAAUACCCCGGGGGGAUGACGGUACCGGAAGAAUAAGCACCGGCUAACUACGUG
rnacentral:rRNA from 1 species